AAGUCGUAACAAGGUAACCGUAGGUGAACCUGCGGUUGGAUCAUUAAAACAAAAAUAACAAACCGAAAACCAAAGGGGCGCAAGUGGAUCGAUAAACGAUCAGGGGACCUUGCGUCCUGGCCAAAGUGCCAAACACCUUUUGUGCACCGUAAUUGUCUCUGGCGGGAGGACGUUGGACGGCCUCAAAACACCUGCAAGGGUUCGAGAGGAGUUGCUCUGCCGUCUGUCAGCUCGGGCAACCGAGCCGUGGACAACCCGCCGACCACUUACCUUUUUACCCACUCAUCAUUUGUCUGACAUUGUCAUUUUUUGUGCUUUUUGAAAAAAUGUAUGAAAAACAACUUUUGGCAACGGAUCUCUUGGCUCUC
rnacentral:misc_RNA from 1 species